CCGAACAGACUACUUCAUGUAUCCAUGCUGAGGCCCACGCCACCGCCGACAUACGUCAAUGGUCUCGCCGCUUUACGGCACGCCGUUGGGGGCUGCGAUCUCCACCUUCCAUCCCCAAUCCAUCUCCUCGUCGGUGGCCACGGGCCAAAGUGGGCAGCAGUAUAAGAUCUGGUGCUGAGGCCCCUAACUCGCGAAGUGGCGAACCACUGUCGAAAACUGUAAUGGCCGGAGUCCGCUCCGCCCGUCCCGCCACUGGCUUCCGCGCCUUCUUUUCCUACAAGGUCUUCGCCUCCGCCGUAUUCACCCUCCUCUGCCUCGCCGCUGUCUCCGUCCUCCUCUCCUCCUACCCUUCCCACCCGACCGACGCCGCCGCCGUCCCCCGCCGCAGCUUCCUCGCCUCUGACCCCCUCCGCGCCCGCCUCGACCUAAUCUACCGCCAGGCCGCUGAUCACUCCGCCGUUGCCACUGCGUAUGCGGCUUACGCUCGCCGCCUCAAGCUCGACUCCUCUCGCCAGCUCCACGUUUUUGAGGGCCUCGCCGCAGCCUUCUCCGAUCUCUCCGCUCGCCUCGCCGCCCCCAUCGACGACGAGGACGCCUUCCGCCCCCUCGAGAAAGAGGCCAAGGACCGCGUCAAGCUCGCCCGCCAGCUCGUCGGCGAGUCCAAGGAGGCCUUCGACACCCAGAUCAAGAUCCAGAAGCUAAGCGACACCAUCUUCGCGGCCCGCGAGCAGCUCCACCGUUCCAAGAAGCUCGGUACACUCGCCGGAUCCAUCGCCGCCGGAUCCACUCCCAAGAGCCUCCACUGCCUCGCCAUGCGUCUCAUGGAGGAGAGGAUCGCUCACCCCGAGCCCUACCGCCGCGCCACCGCCGCGGCCCCGUCCGAUCUCGCCGACCCCGAUCUCUACCACUACGCCAUCUUCUCCGACAACGUGAUUGCCGUCUCCGUGGCUGUCAACUCCGCCAUCAAGAACGCGGAGGAGCCCUGGAAGCACGUGUUCCAUGUCGUCACCGACCCCAUGUACCUGCCCGCCAUGCAGGUCUGGUUCGUCCGCCGCCCACCGGCUGGCGGCGCCAAGGUGGAGGUGAGGUCUGUCGCGGACUUUGGGUUCUUGAACGCUUCUUAUUCGCCAGUGGUCCGGCUGGUUGAGGGUGGGCGGGGUGACCUGUCGGUGCUCAACCAUCUGAGGUUCUACCUGCCCGAAAUAUUCCCUAAGCUGAGGCGAAUUGUGCUCUUGGAGGACGAUGUAGUGGUGCAGAAGGAUCUGGCACAACUGUGGAGGCUCGAUAUGGAUGGGAAGGUGAACGGGGCUGUCGAAACUUGCUUCGGUGGGUUCAGGAGGUACAACAGGUAUUUGAACUUCUCGAAUCAUGAAAUCCGGGAUCGAUUCAGCCCCAGAACAUGUGCCUGGGCCUAUGGGGUGAACGUCUUUGACCUCGGUGCAUGGAGGAGAGAGGGAUGCACCGAGCAAUUCCAUCAGUACCAGAGAAUGAAUGAGGAUGGAACUCUCUGGAACCCAUCAUCUGUGCUUUCAGCAGGACUAGUCACCUUCUACACUACCACAAAGCCACUGGAUAAGAAUUGGCAUGUUAUGGGCCUUGGUUAUAAUCCAAGUGUAAGUGUUGAUGAGAUUCAGAAUGCAGCUGUAAUACACUUUGAUGGGAACAUGAAACCAUGGCUCGAUGUGGCCCUGAACCAAUACAAGCAUCUCUGGACGAAGUACGUUGACACCGAAAUGGACUUCCUCCAGCUCUGCAACUUUGGCCUCUAAUUCAUAAGACCAUGAAGCCUUGCCUACUUGAGGAUUUCAAAAACCUGAUUGUAACGCUGUUCAGAAUUGGUGGUUUUGUGUAGGGAUCACAUACUUUGGUUUAUUAUGAUGCCAAAGGGCACCCACGGAACACACAGCUCUAGUUUACUUCUGAUACUGGAGACAUCUAAUCUUUGGUUCAUUCUAUCUGCUACACAAUUAGUCAUUGAAGUAACCAACACAAUGGUCAGUACUGAGAGCAUAUCCUUUUCUAUGUUAUUUGUUGGUCAUCUGACCCUUGUAGCUACGCACAGUUCGAGGCAUUCUCUGUGGGAAGCUUAUGAUUUCCAUGUCAGUCUGAAGGUGGCCCCUAAUGCCUGGAAUCUCUAAUGAGGAGGGAGCUUCCCUUGUCACCCUUUUUCAAAGGUAGGAGGCCUCGGAUGCCAUUCAUUCCGUUAGGUAUGAUAAAAAAGAGUCCUAAGCUCAGAUGACUAUAUUGUUGAAUUCUAUAGAGGAUGUUGAGAGAUUAUGUCUGAUCUUUUGUGUUUUAUUCCAACACUCAAAUCUAGUUUUUCACACUUUAUUGGUAAUGGAGAAUAUGUUAGUUUGAUGUUUGACAAUUUGGCUUUUUGAAAUUUAUGUUACCUUUAAAUCAA